UUAGAACCUGAGCCGCUUGUAAAACUCACGGGGCAGCGCUUUGGAAACACACAAUAAGGAGAUGCAAGACGAUCAUCCGUCUGUUUCCUGUUAUUCUGUAUCUGUGAUGUUACUGGUCAAAAUGAUAACGGAUGGUAUUUGGGCGUUUGUGCCUUUACGAUCUGCUGAUAUCUCGUCGUACUAUCAUGCCAAGGCCGGCCUUCAGUUUAUGUUCACCAUCAACCACAAUGCACUUACCUCUAAGAUGACAUCACUUCUGUCCUCAUCCAAUAACACCACUUCCUGUCUCCAGUCGAUGACGUCAUGUCCGUCACAUCUUUGACAACCUCAUUUCCACUUCUUCUUUUUUAGGCUGUUUCCUUCCUGUCUUUCAUGAUGUAUAUGAACCACCAUCGCUGUAACACUUUGUCGAAUGUAAACCUUGCAUAUGACCAGAAGAUCAGUCCGAAUUUCUUACUCUCUACCUGGAGAUUAUACUGGGAAGCUUCCCCGACACUUUA